AGUUAAUCAGUCUCAGGUAUGUCUUAAUUAGCAGCAUGAGAACAGACUAAUACACUGUGGGACCUUGGCAGUUUGCAAAGUAUUCAGAUUUCUGUCUCCAUUUGCUCAAAUGUGACUAUAAGGACAUGGCUCACCUUGGAUGGUUCUAUCUCCAUAAAUGCUAACCCUGUGCCUAAUUUUAUAAGCAUAAUUUUAUUCCAUUGUGUGGAAAAAAAAUUUUCUUUACAUGAGAGAUCACCAACACAAUCAGGACCCAGGGGCACCCAGGGGCUCCCAGGAAUGCAACCAACAUCCCGGGAGCCUCUGCUGUGUCUUGGCCACGAUGUGACGUGUGUUCACAUGUUGUCACGAUUCCUCGGUAUAAGAAGCAUGGGUACGACUGGGCCUUCCCGGGCUCACACUCUUUUCCAUGUUGAACCCACAAGAUGGGCAGCUCCUAGGAGCACCAUGUUCCUUCUGUGCCCCCAGCACCCACACAGACCCCAUGUGUCCUGUGCUCCCCUGGGUGAGGAGGACUCCACGGUGACUUCCUCCCAGAAGCCUGACUCCAGUGUCGACGUUUCAUAUGCAAAAUACCAAAGGGUUCUCAGUAACAAAUGCACUUCCUGCCAGGGCUCAGAUCUGCCUUCUUUGACAGACAGAGGGCUUUGAAACUCAAAUGGGGCAAGGAAAGAGACAGAGAGUGGGUGUUUGUGAAAAGCCAGGAACCACGGGCACACUGGCCCCACGCUGGCGGGAUUGCUUCUACAGGAUCUGCAAAAGUAUUGCUGUAAGGAUGGAGAGAGAGAGGCAUUCUUAAAGCACUGAUGAAACGCAGAGAAUUGUGGCUGGUUGUUAGAAUAUACUGCGGAGACGGAUGAAACAAAAUCGGCAAAAUGCUGAUCACUGUAGACGCUGGGAGAUGGGUACGGCACAAGGAGAGUCACUAAGCUCUUCCCUCUAGUUUUGUGUAUGUUUAAAAUUUUCCCAACUAAUAUUUUUCUUUUUUAAAAGUUUUAUUUGUAAUUG
rnacentral:lncRNA from 1 species